GAUGAACGCUAGCGGGAGGCCUAACACAUGCAAGCCGAGCGGUAUUGUUUCUUCGGAAAUGAGAGAGCGGCGUACGGGUGCGUAACAUGUGUGCAACCUGCCUUUAUCUGGGGGAUAGCCUUUCGAAAGGAAGAUUAAUACUCCAUAAUAUAUUGAACGGCAUCGUUUAAUAUUGAAAGCUCCGGCGGAUAGAGAUGGGCACGCGCAAGAUUAGCUAGUUGGUGAGGUAACGGCUCACCAAGGCGAUGAUCUUUAGGGGGCCUGAGAGGGUGAUCCCCCACACUGGUACUGAGACACGGACCAGACUCCUACGGGAGGCAGCAGUGAGGAAUAUUGGUCAAUGGGUGCAAGCCUGAACCAGCCAUCCCGCGUGAAGGACGACUGCCCUAUGGGUUGUAAACUUCUUUUGUAUAGGGAUAAACCUACCCUCGAGAGGGUAGCUGAAGGUACUAUACGAAUAAGCACCGGCUAACUCCGUG
rnacentral:rRNA from 1 species